GCCGCCACUAGCGCCAAUAUUAUGAUAAUGCAUGCAUAUUCAAUUGUUGUCUUUGAUAGGCAGCAAUGAUCAGACAACUCCAUACCCUAGUUUCUGUCAUUAUAUAUAAUUAAUUAUUAAUGGUGUGUAAAUGGAGCGGCUAGAUGAUCCAAAGUGCUCAAAUCAACAUAUAUAUAUAUUUGUCUCCAAGAAUCUUAGACUUCAUUUUCUUGUUGGAAAAUAUAAUCAAAGCAUGAAGCAUUGUGUGUAGACAAUACAAGUUGACUUUACUUUUCUUUCUUUAUUUCAUCUAUCUUGAUGACGGGCUGAGAAGUGACGCUAAGAAUAAAUAAUCAAAGAGGCCCGUGAAUUGAGUUGAUGAAGUAAGUUAUAAUAUUAGAGAAAGUAGGAUAAAAAAGUUGAUCUUUUCUGCUCUUUUGGUUUCUUACUGACUGAGUGGGAGGGCUGAUUGUAGGAAUAUAUAAUCAAAGUGGCCCGAUAGGCCCGAUUUAUGAAUUGAUCAAAUAAGUUAUACUAAAUAAAAUACUAACCGUGUAGCAUUGUAAUUGAGGUAAUGGUUGACAUUUUUCUAUCACCAUCUUUGAUGACGGAGUGGAAGCCUGUUUUAAAAUAAAAGAAGAGUUGUUAAAACCCAUGGCGCCAUGAAAUAUUUAAUAAUUUUCCGAGAGUUUUUUCUCUUGUAUAAAAGUAUGACUAAAACCAGAUUGAUAUACAUAAUAUACCUUAAUUCUGAUCCACAAAAACGUACAUAAGACAUCCAUAGUUUUCAGUGCAUUCCGUCCAUCAAUGGCUCCUUCCAGCUUCCCGCAG
rnacentral:lncRNA from 1 species